UUGGAAUAAUGGAGGAGAGGGAGGGAGUGCUGGCUGGAACUAAUAUAUAGUGCUUGACUUAUUAUUAUUAUUAUUAUUGUUGUUGUUAUUAUUAUUACUUGAUUAUUAUUUGAAAUUGUCAGCUGUUUGAUUUUAUUAUACAUAAAUGAAUUCCUAUUACUAUUCCUAAGCUGUAUAGCUAGCAUUAAAAUUAGUAACUUUUACCUCAACAAUAAGUUGAAAGUAGGUAAAGAAACAAAGCAGACAAAAUUGACCUGUGAUAAGUGGGUGUGGUUUUGAUAAGGAAGGAGGAGCUUGCAACUUCAGCACAAUUGGCUUGUAACUUGUUCUUCUUUAUAUUGACUGUAUCUUUUCAUUUCUUUAUCUUACAAGAGUUGAUCAUUAACAGUGAUAGAGAUGAUUGAUGUCUAUUGUUAGUACCUGAUAUUAAUUCAAAUGUGAGUUCAAUUUAUAGUUAUAUAUUUUGCAGUACAUUUUAUGAUCUGCUCAAUCAUAAACCAUUAGCUUUAGAUCUGUAAAAUGACCAAAUUUAGUCAAAGUAGGUUCUACUAUCAGUAGUGACAAUAUUAACUGUAGUGGAGGAGUAGUCCCUGAUAAGACACUUCUCAUAGCAAAGUGUCAAUGAUCCAUGAAUAAUAAUUCAACGAAGUUCAGUGACAAGUAAUCCAGUAUAACUAUACAAGAUGAUUGAUGUGUCUCAAUGGAGAGCAAGUAUUGGACUGUGGAACUACUGUCAAGCUGCCUCCAGUAGAC